UACGAAGGGGGCUAGCGUUGCUCGGAUUCAUUGGGCGUAAAGGGUGCGUAGGCGGCGCGGUAAGUCGGGUGUGAAAUCUCGGAGCUUAACUCCGAAACUGCAUUCGAUACUGCCGUGCUUGAGGACUGGAGAGGAGACUGGAAUUUACGGUGUAGCGGUGAAAUGCGUAGAUAUCUGCAGGAACACCCGUGGCGAAAGCGGCGCGCUGGACCACUACUGACGCUGAAGAACGAAAGCUAGGGGAGCAAACAGG
rnacentral:rRNA from 1 species